UACGGAGGAGGCAAGCGUUAUCCGGAAUUACUGGGCGUAAAGGGCGCGUAGGCGGCCCGCUAAGUCGAACGUGAAAUCCCCAGGCUCAACCUGGGAACUGCGUCCGAUACUGGCAGGCUUGAAUCCGGGAGAGGGAUGUGGAAUUCCGGGUGUAGCGGUGAAAUGCGUAGAUAUCUGGAGGAACACCGGUGGCGAAGGCGGCAUCCUGGACCGGGUAUUGACGCUGAGGCGCGAAAGCUAGGGGAGCAAACGGGG
rnacentral:rRNA from 1 species